rnacentral:tRNA from 1 species
AAAAAAGGUAAGCUAAAUAAGCUAAUGGGUUCAUACCCCGUUUAUAGAGGCAUUAAUCCUCUCCUUUUUA